AUUGAACGCUGGCGGCAGGCCUAACACAUGCAAGUCGAGCGGGGUUUUCGGACCUAGCGGCGGACGGGUGAGUAAUGCGUAGGAAGCUACCCGACAGAGGGGGAUACCAGUUGGAAACGACUGUUAAUACCGCAUAAUGUCUACGGACCAAAGUGUGGGACCUUCGGGCCACAUGCUAUCGGAUGCGCCUACGUGGGAUUAGCUAGUUGGUGAGGUAAUGGCUCACCAAGGCGACGAUCCCUAGCUGGUUUGAGAGGAUGAUGAGCCACACUGGAACUGAGACACGGUCCAGACUCCUACGGGAGGCAGCAGUGGGGAAUAUUGGACAAUGGGCGCAAGCCUGACCCAGCCAUGCCGCGUGUGUGAAGAAGGCCUUCGGGUUGUAAAGCACUUUCAGUAGGGAGGAAGCGUUGUGUGUUAAUAGUACACAGCGUUGACGUUACCUACAGAAGAAGCACCGGCUAACUCUGUGCCAGCCGCCGCCGUAAAAC
rnacentral:rRNA from 1 species